UGUAAAUGCGGGCCAGCAGCCGCGGUAAUACGUAUGUCCCAAGCGUUAUGCGGAUUUAUUGGGCGUAAAGCGAGCGCAGGCGGUUAUUUAAGUCUGAUGUGAAAGCCUACGGCUCAACCGUAGAAUUGCAUCGGAAACUGGAGGACUUGAGUGCAGUAGAGGAGAGUGGAACUCCAUGUGUAGCGGUGAAAUGCGUAGAUAUAUGGAAGAACACCAGAGGCGAAGGCGGCUCUCUGGACUGUAACUGACGCUGAGGCUCGAAAGUGUGGGUAGCAAACAGGAUUAGAUACUCCGGUAGUC
rnacentral:rRNA from 1 species